CAGGGAGACAACAAAAUGUUUAAUAUUAUUAUUUUGUCACCUUAGGUCGAUCGGUAUCUCACGUUCUUAAUUUAUUAAGAAUUUCAUUUCCUAAGUUUUUCUAGGUCACACCCAUUAUUUUUCCUGGGCCAUUAGCUCAGGUGGUUAGAGCGCACCCCUGAUAAGGGUGAGGUCCCUGGUUCAAGUCCAGGAUGGCCCAUAUCUCUAUGUUGGGGGUAUAGCUCAGUUGGUAGAGCGCCUGCUUUGCAAGCAGGAUGUCAGCGGUUCGAGUCCGCUUACCUCCACUGAUUACCACCUCUUCCAUAAUUUGAAGAAAGGAAAUUUUUUGAGUUGUGAUCAAGUUCUGAACGAAUCUAGCUUCCUAAUGAAAGCAUUAAGAUGCUGGACUCAUUGAAUUCAUUUCAUUGUUUUCAGAGAACCUUGACAACUGCAUAGAUUAUUUUUUUAAAGACAAUAAGCAUCUUUAAUGAUGCAGAUUUUUUAUUUGUGCGAAUGCAUUAAUAACAAUUCUAUUAAGCUGAUGCUUCAAUUUUUGAAGUUAUU
rnacentral:tRNA from 1 species